rnacentral:rRNA from 1 species
AUACGGAGGAUCCAAGCGUUAUCCGGAAUCAUUGGGUUUAAAGGGUCCGUAGGUGGACAGAUAAGUCAGAGGUGAAAUCCUGCAGCUCAACUGUAGAAUUGCCUUUGAAACUGUUUGUCUUGAGUCAUAGUGAAGUGGUUAGAAUGUGUAGUGUAGCGGUGAAAUGCAUAGAUAUUACACAGAAUACCGAUUGCGAAGGCAGAUCACUAAUAAUGUACUGACACUGAUGGACGAAAGCGUGGGUAGCGAACAGGAUUAGAAACCCUAGUAGUCC